GUAGGAUAAGGUAGUAGAUUGUAUAGUUCUAGGGUCACACCCAUCAUUGGAAGAUCACUCUAUACAAUCUACUGUCUUUCCUCA
rfam:Tupaia chinensis contig64101, whole genome shotgun sequence.